GGGCCGUUAGUUCAGUUGGUAGAAUACUUCCAUGGCAUGGAAGAGAUCACCGGUUCGAGUCCGGUACGGUCCA
rnacentral:tRNA from 1 species